AUAUAUAUUUUUUAUCAACCACACAUAUAUUAAAAUAUAACUCUAUGAUCGGCUGCCCAAUUUAGAGGAGAAGAGUUUACAAAAAUAACAUCAGACAACAAUAAACGAGAAAAACAGGUUAAACAAUAUGCUUUAGAAUUACAUAAACGGUAAAAAUAAGAAAUCGAACCAAGCGUCGUUAGCUCAAUUGGUAAAGACCCUAGACGAACCUUAGAGGUCGCCGAUUCGAGUGACGUUUGGGACGAAACUAAUAUUACAUGCUGUGGUUUCGGGUCUGAGAGAUUACGGGAUUCGGUCCAGAACCUCCUAAUAUUUAUAAA
rnacentral:sRNA from 1 species